GCAAGUGUAGUUCAAGGGUAGAAUCUCAGUUUCCCAUGAUUUCAAGAUUUCGAUCUUGCAAUUGCGAGGAACUACUGAGGGUCCGAGUUCGAGUCUCGGCACUUGCA